UACGUAGGGGGCAAGCGUUGUCCGGAAUCAUUGGGCGUAAAGAGCGCGUAGGCGGCCCAGUAAGUCCGCUCUGAAAGUCAGGGGCUCAACCCCUGAAUGCGGGUGGAUACUGCUGGGCUAGAGUCCGGAAGAGGCGAAUGGAAUUCCCGGUGUAGCGGUGAAAUGCGCAGAUAUCGGGAGGAACACCGGUGGCGAAGGCGGUUCUCUGGGCCUUACCUGACGCUGAGGAGCGAAAGCGUGGGGAGCGAACAGG
rnacentral:rRNA from 1 species